rnacentral:rRNA from 1 species
GACGUAGGGCGCGAGCGUUGUCCGGAUUUAUUGGGCGUAAAGAGCUCGUAGGCGGUUUGUUGCGUCGGCUGUGAAAUCCCGAGGCUCAACCUCGGGUCUGCAGUCGAUACGAGCAAACUAGAGUGUUGGCAGGGGAGACUGGAAUUCCUGGUGUAGCGGUGAAAUGCACAGAUAUCGGGAAGACCACCAGUGGCGAAGGCGGUUUGCCAGAACGCGCGUCGACGGUGAGGAUGGAAAGCGGGGAGCAACCGG